rnacentral:rRNA from 1 species
CCUACGGGAGGCAGCAGUGAGGAAUAUUGCUCAAUGGACGGGACUCUGAACCAGCCAAGUCGCGUGAAUGAUGACUGCCCUCUGGGUUGUAAACUUCUUUUGUAUGGGAAUAAGCUGUUCCACGUGUGGGAUUUUGUAUGUACCAUAUGAAUAAGAAUCGGAUAACUCCGUGCCAGCCGCCGCGGUAAUACGGAGGAUCGGAGCGUUAUCCGGAUUUAUUGGGUUAAAAGGGAGCGUAGGUGGAUUGUUAAGUCAGUUGUGAAAGUUUGGGGCUCAACCGUAAAAUUGCAGUUGAAACUGGGAGGCUUGAGUACAGUAGAGGUGGGCAGAAUUCGUGGUGUAGCGGUGAAAUGCGUAGAUAUGAGGAAGAACUCCGAUUGCGAAGGCAGCCCCUUGGACUGCAACUGACACUGAGGUUCGAAAGUGUGGGUAUCAAACAGGAUUAGAUACCCCGGUAGUC